UACGGAGGGUGCAAGCGUUAUCCGGAUUCACUGGGUUUAAAGGGUGCGUAGGUGGCUAUAUAAGUCAGUGGUGAAAGCCCCGCGGCUCAACCGUGGAAUUGCCAUUGAAACUGCAUAGCUUGAGUACAGUUGAAGUGGGCGGAAUACAUCAUGUAGCGGUGAAAUGCUUAGAUAUGAUGUAGAACACCGAUUGCGAAGGCAGCUCACUAAGCUGUAACUGACACUGAGGCACGAAAAGCGUGGGGUAGCGAACAGG
rnacentral:rRNA from 1 species